rnacentral:tRNA from 1 species
GCUACUGUAGCUCAGAUGGCAGAGCACGUCCUUGGUAAGGACGAGGUCACCGGUUCAAUUCUGGUCAGUAGCU